rnacentral:rRNA from 1 species
CAGCCGCCACGGGAAUACGUAGGGUGCGAGCGUUAAUCGGAAUUACUGGGCGUAAAGCGUGCGCAGGCGGUUAUAUAAGACAGAUGUAAAAUCCCCGGGCUCAACCUGGGACCUGCAUUUGUGACUGUAGAGCUAGAGUACGGUAGAGGGGGAUGGAAUUCCGCGUGUAGCAGUGAAAUGCGUAGAUAUGCGGAGGAACACCGACGGCGAAGGCAAUCCCCUGGACCUGUACUGACGCUCAUGCACGAAAGCGUGGGGAGCAAACAGGAUUAGAUACCCCGGUAGUCCCUGUCUCUUAUAC